rnacentral:rRNA from 1 species
CGAACGAAGGCUUCGGCUUUAGUGGCGCACGGGUGCGUAACGCGUGGGAAUCUGCCCUUGGGUUGGGAAUAACAGUUAGAAAUGACUGCUAAUACCAAAUAAUGACGCAAGUCCAAAGAUUUAUCGCCCAAGGAUGAGCCCGCGUAGGAUUAGCUAGUUGGUGAGGUAAAAGCUCACCAAGGCGACGAUCCUUAGCUGGUCUGAGAGGAUGAUCAGCCACACUGGGACUGAGACACGGCCCAGACUCCUACGGGAGGCAGCAGUGGGGAAUAUUGGACAAUGGGCGAAAGCCUGAUCCAGCAAUGCCGCGUGAGUGAUGAAGGCCUUAGGGUUGUAAAGCUCUUUUACCCGGGAUGAAUAAUGACAGUACCGGGAGAAUAAGCCCCGGCUAACUCCGUGCCAGCAGCCGCGGUAAU